GACUAACGCUGGCGGCGUGCUUAACACAUGCAAGUCGAACGGAAAGGCCUGCUUUCCCUUGUGGAUUGCGGGUACUCGAGUGGCGAACGGGUGAGUAACACGUGAGUGAUCUGCCCCCAACUUGGGUAUAAGCCUGGGAAACUGGGUCUAAUUCCCGAUAGGACUGCAGGGUGGUGCCUGUGGUGGAAAACGAUUUUCUAGUGGUUGGGGAUGAGCUCGCGGCCUAUCAGCUUGUUGGUGGGGUAAUGGCCUACCAAGGCGGCGACGGGUAGCCGGCCUGGGAGGGUGGACGGCCACAUUGGGACUGAGAUACGGCCCAGACUCCUACGGGAGGCAGCAGUGGGGAAUAUUGCACAAUGGGCGGAAGCCUGAUGCAGCGACGCCGCGUGGGGGAUGACGGCCUUCGGGUUGUAAACUCCUUUCGACCGCGAGGAAGCCACCUGGUUGGAAGGGUGGUGACGGUAGUGGUAGAAGAAGCACCGGCUAACUACGUG
rnacentral:rRNA from 1 species